CAUGCAGUCGAACGGCAGCACGGGGCAACCUGGUGGCGAGUGGCGAACGGGUGAGUAAUAUAUCGGAACGUACCCUGGAGUGGGGGAUAACGUAGCGAAAGUUACGCUAAUACCGCAUACGAUCUAAGGAUGAAAGUGGGGGAUUCGCAAGAACCUCAUGCUCCUGGAGCGGCCGAUAUCUGAUUAGCUAGUUGGUAGGGUAAAAGCCUACCAAGGCAUCGAUCAGUAGCUGGUCUGAGAGGACGACCAGCCACACUGGAACUGAGACACGGUCCAGACUCCUACGGGAGGCAGCAGUGGGGAAUUUUGGACAAUGGGCGCAAGCCUGAUCCAGCAAUGCCGCGUGAGUGAAGAAGGCCUUCGGGUUGUAAAGCUCUUUUGUCAGGGAAGAAACGGUGGGAGCUAAUAUUUCUCACUAAUGACGGUACCUGAAGAAUAAGCACCGGCUAACUACGUGCCAGCAGCCGCGGUAAUACGUAGGGUGCAAGCGUUAAUCGGAAUUACUGGGCGUAAAGCGUGCGCAGGCGGCUUUGUAAGUUUGUCGUGAAAUCCCCGGGCUCAACCUGGGAAUGGCGAUGAAGACUGCAAGGCUAGAAUCUGGCAGAGGGGGGUAGAAUUCCACGUGUAGCAGUGAAAUGCGUAGAGAUGUGGAGGAACACCGAUGGCNAANGCAGCCCCCUGGGUCAAGAUUGACGCUCAUGCACGANAGCGUGGGGAGCAAACAGGAUUAGAUACCCUGGUAGUCCACGCCCUANACGAUGUCUACUAGUUGUCGGGUUUUAAUUAACUUGGUAACGCAGCUAACGCGUGAAGUAGACCGCCUGGGGAGUACNGUCGCAAGAUUAAAACUCAAAGGAAUUGACNGGGACCCGCACAAGCGGUGGAUGAUGUGGAUNAAUUCGAUGCAACGCGAAAAACCUUACCUANCCUUGACUGUACGGAANCCUGGAGANAUCNGGUGUGCUCNAAAAAAACCGUAAACANGUGCUGCUGGCUGUCCU
rnacentral:rRNA from 1 species